rnacentral:rRNA from 1 species
UACAGAGGGGGCAAGCGUUGUUCGGAAUUACUGGGCGUAAAGGGCGCGUAGGCGGCCUGCUAAGUCGAACGUGAAAUCCCCGGGCUCAACCCGGGAACUGCGUCCGAUACUGGCAGGCUUGAAUCCGGGAGAGGGAUGUGGAAUUCCAGGUGUAGCGGGUGAAAUGCGUAGAUAUCUGGAGGAACACCGGUGGCGAAGGCGGCUAUCUGGACAGAGUCUGACGCUGAGGCGGCGAAAAGCUAGGGGAGCAAACAGG